GGGCCCUUAGCUCAAUUGGUAGAGCGCCGCCUUUGCAAGGCGGAGGUCACUGGUUCGAUUCCGGUAGGGUCCA
rnacentral:tRNA from 1 species